GUUUAUUUCGGUAUAUUUUAUUAUAUAUUAUAAGUUUUAUAAAAGUUUUUACAUAACAUAAUACGAGACACACACACGAGGCAUCAGUGUUCUCCGAUCCCAUGAUGCUCUUCUCAUAGGAUAUGACGUAAUAUGAAUAACAUGAAAACAUUGCGCAACACCCCCACUUGGUUUCAUGAACUAAAGUUAUUUACAUUUUUUUUAUUUUUUUUUUUUUUUUAACUUAAAUUAACUACUAAAGCUUCACACGUGUUAAUUACAUGCAUGCCCACCCCCGCUAUCAACCUAGCCAAAAAACUAACGAACGCUAAUUACAUGGAUUGUAACCCAAAUAGGAUGGGUCUAAACCUGUCCAGUUUAACUUUGGUAGCUGGUUUUGUAAGUAUGUCUGCCACCAUAUGUUCUGUUUGACAGUAAACAAUGUCUAUUUUACCACUUAUUAAUACUUCUCAUAAGAAAUGAUACUUAAUGUCAAUAUGUUUGCAUCUUUGUCUACUUACCGGAUUUUUACUUAAGGCUAUUGCCCCUUGAUUAUCCUCAUAUAUUCGCGUGCAAGUAUAUAUUUUGCUAUCCAUACUGUUAAGUAACUGCAUCAAAUAUAAACUUUCCUGAGUAGUGGCUGCUAAACUUACAUACUCUGCUUCACAAGUUGAAAGCGCAAUUGUGGGUUGCUUCUUAGACUUCCACAAUAUGGGAGGACCAUUCUCCGUUAAACUAAAACAGUACCCUGUUGUACUGUGUCGAUCAUCCAACGAAGAUGC
rnacentral:lncRNA from 1 species